rnacentral:rRNA from 1 species
CCCUACUGCUAUCGGGGGAGGACUAAAACAUGCAAGUCGUGCGCCUCCAAGCUAUGAUGGAGACGCGGCAUACGGCUCAGUAACACGUGGCUAACCCACCCUUGAGACGGAGAAAACCCCGGGAAACUGGGGCUAAUCCCCGAUAGGAGAAGACACCUGGAAGGGGUCUUUUCCCAAAAGGCGCUUAGAUCAUGCUUCUAGACGCCGCUCAAGGACGGGGCCGCGGCCGAUCAGGUUGUUGGUGAGGCAAUGGCUUACCAAGCCUAUAACCGGUACGGGCCGUGAGAGCGGGAGCCCGGAGAUGGGCACUGAGACAAGGGCCCAGGCCCUACGGGGCGCAGCAGUUGCGAAAACUCCGCAAUGCACGAAAGUGUGACGGGGCUACCCCGAGUGCCGUCCGCUGAGGGCGGCUUUUCCCCGGUGUAAGGAGCCGGGGGAAUAAGGAGAGGGCAAGUCUGGUGUCAGCCGCCGCGGUAAUACCAGCUCUCCGAGUGGUAGGGAUGAUUAUUGGGCUUAAAGCGUCCGUAGCCGGCCUAGCAAGUCUUCCGUUAAAUCCACCGAUUCAAUCGUUGGACUGCAGGAGAUACUGUUGGGCUAGGGGGCGGGAGAGGCUGACGGUAUUCUCGGGGUAGGGGUAAAAUCCUAUAAUCCCGGGAGGACCACCAGUGGCGAAGGCGGUCGGCUAGAACGCGCUCGACGGUGAGGGACGAAAGCUGGGGGAGCGAACCGGAUUAGAUACCCGGGUAGUCCCAGCUGUAAACGAUGCGGGCUAGGUGUUGGGGCGGCUACGGGCCGCUUCAGUGCCGCAGGGAAACCAUUAAGCCCGCCGCCUGGGGAGUACGGCCGCAAGGCUGAAACUUAAAGGAAUUGGCGGGGGAGCACCACAAGGGGUGAAGCUUGCGGUUUAAUUGGAUUCAACGCCGG